rnacentral:rRNA from 1 species
UACGUAGGGACCAAGCGUUGUCCGGAAUCAUUGGGCGUAAAGAGCGUGUAGGCGGCUUGUUAAGUCUUGCGUGAAAUCUCGGGGCUCAACCCCGAGCGGUCGUGAGAAACUGGCAGGCUAGAGUGCGGGAGAGGAGAGUGGAAUUCCUGGUGUAGCGGUGAAAUGCGCAGAUAUCAGGAGGAACACCGGUGGCGAAGGCGGCUACCUGGACAGAAACUGACGCUGAGGCGCGAAAGCUAGGGGAGCAAACAGG